GCAGUUAUGAUGAAAUUGGUAAACAUGUAAUACUUAAAAUGUUAUGGCUAGUCCUUAUAGGUUCGACCCCUAUUAACUGCA
rnacentral:tRNA from 1 species